GAUGAACGCUAGCUACAGGCUUAACACAUGCAAGUCGAGGUACCGGCGCACGGGUGAGUAACACGUAUCCAACCUGCCCUUUACUCGGGGAUAUCCUUUCGAAAGAAAGAUUAAUACCCGAUAUAAAGGAUGGGGAUGCGUUCCAUUAGGUUGUUGGUGAGGUAACGGCCCACCAAGCCUUCGAUGGAUAGGUGUUCUGAGAGGAAGGUACCCCACAAUGGAACUGAGACACGGUCCAAACUCCUACGGGAGGGAGCAGUGAGGAAUAUUGGGGAAUCGGCGGUAGCCUGAACCAGCCAAGUAGCGUGAAGGAUGAAUGCUUAUGGGUCGUAAACUUGUUUUAUAUAAGAAUAUGUAUUAUAUGAAGAAGGAUCGGCUAACUCCGUGCCAGCAGCCGCGGUAAUUC
rnacentral:rRNA from 1 species